rnacentral:misc_RNA from 1 species
AAAGUCGUAACAAGGUUUCCGUAGGUGAACCUGCGGAAGGAUCAUUAAAGAGUUAGGGUCCUAGUGGCCCAACCUCCAACCCUCUGUUGUUAAAACUACCUUGUUGCUUUUGGCGGGACCGUUCGGUCUUUGAAGCGCCGGUUUUAACCUUCGGGUUGGCGAGCGCCCGCCAGAGUCCAACCAAACUCUUGUAUUAAACCAGUCGUCUGAGUAUAAAAUUUUUAAUUAAAUUAAAAC